CCUACGGGGGGCAGCAGUGAGGAAUAUUGGUCAAUGGACGAGAGUCUGAACCAGCCAAGUAGCGUGAAGGAUGACUGCCCUAUGGGUUGUAAACUUCUUUUAUAUGGGAAUAAAAUGUUCCACGUGUGGGAUUUUGUAUGUACCAUAUGAAUAAGGAUCGGCUAACUCCGUGCCAGCAGCCGCGGUAAUACGGAGGAUCCGAGCGUUUUCCGGAUUUAUUGGGUUUAAAGGGAGCGUAGGUGGAUGGUUAAGUCAGUUGUGAAAGUUUGCGGCUCAACCGUAAAAUUGCAGUUGAAACUGGCAGUCUUGAGUACAGUAGAGGUGGGCGGAAUUCGUGGUGUAGCGGUGAAAUGCUUAGAUAUCACGAAGAACUCCGAUUGCGAAGGCAGUUCACUGGACUGCAACUGACACUGAGGCUCGAAAGUGUGGGUAUCAAACAGGAUUAGAUACCCUAGUAGUC
rnacentral:rRNA from 1 species